CAGUAGCCGCGGUAAUACGUAGGUCCCGAGCGUUGUCCGGAUUUAUUGGGCGUAAAGCGAGCGCAGGCGGUUAGAUAAGUCUGAAGUUAAAGGCUGUGGCUUAACCAUAGUACGCUUUGGAAACUGUUUAACUUGAGUGCAAGAGGGGAGAGUGGAAUUCCAUGUAUAGCGGUGAAAUGCGUAGAUAUAUGGAGGAACACCGGUGGCGAGAGCGGCUCUCUGGCUUGUAACUGACGCUGAGGCUCGAAAGCGUGGGGAGCAAACAGGAUUAGAUACCCCUGUAGUCCCUGUCUCUUAUACC
rnacentral:rRNA from 1 species